GGUACUUCGGCAACCAGUCCCGGAUGGACCCUGCCACUCACGCAAAGACAGCUGAGACAGGCUUCCAGUCACCUGUCACCUUUGUCAUAUACUGCCCUGCAGUUCCAUUAUUGGAGCCGGUAGGGCGCUUUGUGUCCUCUCUCUCCCCCCUCUCCUCUCUGUUUUCAGCACCUGUCUUCAAUCAGCCUCAUCACCACCGGUGUAUAUAAUCCUCGCCUAAUGCUCCCCUGUGUUCCUGACCCACGUCAUUGCUGCCACCAAGCCAGCCGCCUGUUCUGUCCACUGCCUGCCACCUGUCCACGCCGCCGCCUGCCAAGACAUCCAGGACCACCUCCAUAACCUUUCCUCAAUAACCUGUUCAUCAUUUUACAUCUGCCUCCGCCUGCUCUUGGGUCCAGCUACUACCCACAUGUGACACCCUUGUCUCUCAUGAGACUUCUGCCCUAACUGGAUUGGUUCCACUUCUCUUUUGGUGUAUUUUUAACUUUUUCUUAUAAAGCAAUUUUUCCUCCACUUUCA